rnacentral:rRNA from 1 species
GAUGAACGCUGACAGAAUGCUUAACACAUGCAAGUCUACUUGAACUUCGGUUUGGGUGGCGGACGGGUGAGUAACGCGUAAAGAACUUGCCUCACAGUUAGGGACAACAUUUGGAAACGAAUGCUAAUACCUGAUAUUAUGAUUUUAGGGCAUCCUAGGAUUAUGAAAGCUAUAUGUGCUGUGAGAGAGCUUUGCGUCCCAUUAGCUAGUUGGAGAGGUAACGGCUCACCAAGGCGAUGAUGGGUAGCCGGCCUGAGAGGGUGAACGGCCACAAGGGGACUGAGACACGGCCACUACUCCUACGGGAGGCAGCAGUGGGGAAUAUUGGACAAUGGACCAAAAGUCUGAUCCAGCAAUUCUGUGUGCACGAUGACGUUUUUCGGAAUGUAAAGUGCUUUCAGUUGGGAAGAAAAAAAUGACGGUACCAACAGAAGAAGAGACGGCUAAAUACGUG